GAUGAACGCUGGCGGCAUGCCUAAUACAUGCAAGUCGAGCGAACAGACGAGGAGCUUGCUCCUCUGACGUUAGCGGCGGACGGGUGAGUAACACGUGGAUAACCUACCUAUAAGACUGGGAUAACUUCGGGAAACCGGAGCUAAUACCGGAUAAUAUAUUGAACCGCAUGGUUCAAUAGUGAAAGACGGUUUUGCUGUCACUUAUAGAUGGAUCCGCGCCGCAUUAGCUAGUUGGUAAGGUAACGGCUUACCAAGGCAACGAUGCGUAGCCGACCUGAGAGGGUGAUCGGCCACACUGGAACUGAGACACGGUCCAGACUCCUACGGGAGGCAGCAGUAGGGAAUCUUCCGCAAUGGGCGAAAGCCUGACGGAGCAACGCCGCGUGAGUGAUGAAGGUCUUCGGAUCGUAAAACUCUGUUAUUAGGGAAGAACAAAUGAGUAAGUAACUAUGCACGUCUUGACGGUACCUAAUCAGAAAGCCACGGCUAACUACGUG
rnacentral:rRNA from 1 species